rnacentral:rRNA from 1 species
ACUUAAAUUGAAGAGUUUGAUCAUGGCUCAGAUUGAACGCUGGCGGCAGGCCUAACACAUGCAAGUCGAGCGGUAGCACAGAGAGCUUGCUCUCGGGUGACGAGCGGCGGACGGGUGAGUAAUGUCUGGGAAACUGCCUGAUGGAGGGGGAUAACUACUGGAAACGGUAGCUAAUACCGCAUAAUGUCGUAAGACCAAAGUGGGGGACCUUCGGGCCUCAUGCCAUCAGAUGUGCCCAGAUGGGAUUAGCUAGUAGGUGGGGUAACGGCUCACCUAGGCGACGAUCCCUAGCUGGUCUGAGAGGAUGACCAGCCACACUGGAACUGAGACACGGUCCAGACUCCUACGGGAGGCAGCAGUGGGGAAUAUUGCACAAUGGGCGCAAGCCUGAUGCAGCCAUGCCGCGUGUGUGAAGAAGGCCUUCGGGUUGUAAAGCACUUUCAGCGGGGAGGAAGGCGAUAAGGUUAAUAACCUUGUCGAUUGACGUUACCCGCAGAAGAAGCACCGGCUAACUCCGUGCCAGCAGCCGCGGUAAUACGGAGGGUGCAAGCGUUAAUCGGAAUUACUGGGCGUAAAGCGCACGCAGGCGGUCUGUCAAGUCGGAUGUGAAAUCCCCGGGCUCAACCUGGGAACUGCAUUCGAAACUGGCAGGCUAGAGUCUUGUAGAGGGGGGUAGAAUUCCAGGUGUAGCGGUGAAAUGCGUAGAGAUCUGGAGGAAUACCGGUGGCGAAGGCGGCCCCCUGGACAAAGACUGACGCUCAGGUGCGAAAGCGUGGGGAGCAAACAGGAUUAGAUACCCUGGUAGUCCACGCCGUAAACGAUGUCGAUUUGGAGGUUGUGCCCUUGAGGCGUGGCUUCCGGAGCUAACGCGUUAAAUCGACCGCCUGGGGAGUACGGCCGCAAGGUUAAAACUCAAAUGAAUUGACGGGGGCCCGCACAAGCGGUGGAGCAUGUGGUUUAAUUCGAUGCAACGCGAAGAACCUUACCUGGUCUUGACAUCCACAGAACUUUCCAGAGAUGGAUUGGUGCCUUCGGGAACUGUGAGACAGGUGCUGCAUGGCUGUCGUCAGCUCGUGUUGUGAAAUGUUGGGUUAAGUCCCGCAACGAGCGCAACCCUUAUCCUUUGUUGCCAGCGGUUCGGCCGGGAACUCAAAGGAGACUGCCAGUGAUAAACUGGAGGAAGGUGGGGAUGACGUCAAGUCAUCAUGGCCCUUACGACCAGGGCUACACACGUGCUACAAUGGCAUAUACAAAGAGAAGCGACCUCGCGAGAGCAAGCGGACCUCAUAAAGUAUGUCGUAGUCCGGAUUGGAGUCUGCAACUCGACUCCAUGAAGUCGGAAUCGCUAGUAAUCGUAGAUCAGAAUGCUACGGUGAAUACGUUCCCGGGCCUUGUACACACCGCCCGUCACACCAUGGGAGUGGGUUGCAAAAGAAGUAGGUAGCUUAACCUUCGGGAGGGCGCUUACCACUUUGUGAUUCAUGACUGGGGUGAAGUCGUAACAAGGUAACCGUAGGGGAACCUGCGGUUGGAUCACCUCCUUACCUUAAAGAA